rnacentral:rRNA from 1 species
GAUGAACGCUAGCGGCAGGCUUAAUACAUGCAAGUCGUGGGGCAGCAGGUUUGUAGCAAUACAGAUGCUGGCGACCGGCAAACGGGUGCGGAACACGUACAGAACCUUCCUUUGAGCGGGGAAUAGCCCAGAGAAAUUUGGAUUGAUACCCCAUAGUAUAAUGAAGUGGCAUCACUUUAUUAUUAAAGAUUUAUCACUCGAAGAUGGCUGUGCGGCUGAUUAGGUAGUUGGCGGGGUAAAGGCCCACCAAGCCUGCGAUCAGUAACUGGUGUGAGAGCACGACCAGUCACACGGGCACUGAGACACGGGCCCGACUCCUACGGGAGGCAGCAGUAAGGAAUAUUGGUCAAUGGAGGCAACUCUGAACCAGCCAUGCCGCGUGGAGGAUGAAGGUCCUCUGGAUUGUAAACUUCUUUAUAUGGGACGAAAAAAGGCUUUUCUAAGUCGUCUGACGGUACCAUAUGAAUAAGCACCGGCUAACUCCGUGCCAGCAGCCG